UCAACGUGAAAAGUGUUUUCCAUUCAAUAACUAAAAGCUUCUGGGGAAAAGGGUUGGGUCUCGGCAACCAAGCAAAUGCUGUUAAAACUUAAAACUUAAGGUGAAGUCCGGAAUUUGGAGUCCGAUGGUAGGUGUACGAGUGGUCCAUAUAUAUACAUAUGGGCGCAUCAUCCUUUCCCCAUCAUUUGCAGUCCAUUCAAUUCGAAACUGUUGCUGUCUCCCUCCACACCACAACUGGUCCUCGCAGUUUUGUUUUGGUGUAUUAGGUACUGCUUAUGUGAAGUGGUGUUUGUUAACGAUUAGGUAAAGAAGGCGAUCAAGCGUUUAGAAACAUCUCAUGGCUCGGCUUUGGCAAAUUGUAUUGCAAAAAAUUCUAGGACCUCCAGCUUGGGCGUUUAGAAAAGCUGCGAGACGACUACAGCUGAUGAUUCUUCAAUAUGAGAUGAAUGGCCUGAAUCCCGAAUAUGUUCUGCCAGAGAAGAUCUAUGCAUGAAAAUAAAAGUCAAUAGAAAUAAUAAAUAACGCCAAGAAGAAUUUGUUUCUUCUUCUUCUUCUUCUUCGUUGUACAGCGUUAAUGGAGUUUAAUUCGCAGACAGAGUUAUGUGACUUUUCUAGCUACUAUAGUGCCACUGUAUGGGUGGAUUCCCGUGAUCCGCGUUCGGCAGCAACACCGUUUUUCUUUUUGGGUUUACGACAAAAUUGUCUACUCAUCAUUGCAAUAAAGAAGAAGGGGAAAUGGUCAAUUUAGUCCUCCAA